AACGUAGGACGCGAGCGUUAUCCGGAGUUACUGGGCGUAAAGGGCAGGUAGGCGGGCCUUUAAGUUGGGUGUGAAAUGUCCCGGCUCAACCGGGAGGGUGCAUUCGAGACUGGGGGCCUGGAGGGCAGCAGAGGAGCGUGGAAUUCCGGGUGGAGUGGUGAAAUGCGUAGAGAUCCGGAGGAACACCAGAGGCGAAAGCGGGGCUCUGGGCUGCACCUGACGCUGAACUGCGAAAGCCAGGGGAGCGAACGGG
rnacentral:rRNA from 1 species